GAUGAACGCUGGCGGCGUGCUUAACACAUGCAAGUCGAGCGAGGGAGCACCUUCGGGUGUGAACUAGCGGCGGACGGGUGAGUAACACGUGGGCAACCUGCCUUACAGAGGGGGAUAGCCUUCCGAAAGGAAGAUUAAUACCGCAUAUUAUGAUUUUCUGCAUGGGAAAGUCAUGAAAGGAGCAAUCCGCUGUAAGAUGGGCCCGCGGCGCAUUAGCUAGUUGGUGAGGUAAGGGCUCACCAAGGCGACGAUGCGUAGCCGACCUGAGAGGGUGAUCGGCCACAUUGGGACUGAGACACGGCCCAG
rnacentral:rRNA from 1 species